GGAGAGGUGACCGAGUGGUUGAUGGUACCGGUCUUGAAAACCGGCGUGCCGAAAGGUACCGCGAGUUCGAAUCUCGCCCUCUCCGCCA
rnacentral:tRNA from 1 species